GGUCCCAGGUGUUAGAGGCAGCAUACCUGGCUCUUAACCAGCGUGGUGAGGGUUCGAGUCCCUCGGGUCCCA
rnacentral:tRNA from 1 species